GUCUACGGCCAUGCCACCCAGAACAAGCCGGAUCCCAUCUGAUGUCGAAAGCCAAGCAGGGUCAGGCCUGGUUAGUAUUUGGAUGGGAGAUCACCUAGGAAGAUCAGAUGCUGUAGGUG
rnacentral:rRNA from 1 species